rnacentral:lncRNA from 1 species
AUUAACAUCACACAAACACAGUAAUCCAUUGAUUGAACCUACAAAAUGGUUGUACUCUCCUUCCAUCUUAAAUUUACGUUUUUCAUUAAGGGUUGGUGGGUUUUUGAAGAAUGAAUUCAUAGAAUAUGUAACAACCUUGCUCGAAUCUUCGGAAACUAAGGCCAAUCGAGGGUGGGUCAUGAUUGUACCUGAGUUUGAGGUGUGAAGGUGAUCUUUCCCAAAUUGGGGAUGGGUUCGUCUAGUAACGCCGGCGGUGACAGCCUCCGUGACAUGGCGGCGGCGGUUUCAAUGCUAUCAAGCACCACACUUUCCCUGCUCGGACUUAUAUUCUUCACAACUUCACGUCAUUUUGUGAUUUAACUAUUUAUAUGGGUGAGUGAGUGGGGUGAUGUGUAGAUUUUAAUUAAAGUGUUAUUCAAAGAAACCUUGAGGUAGGGGUGUUCGCGGAUUGGAUUGGAUCGGUUUUGAGGAGAAAAAUCAUCCGAUCCGAUCUCAUCGGUUUUAUGAUUUUGUCAUACAAUGGAUUUUUUUAACACUUCACCAAACAACAUCCUUAAGCAAUUGCAGAAACUAUUGAAACAUUGUGGCCCUUGACGAUGAAUAUUUUAAAAGACCACACUUUCCAUUGAGCUCUGUUCAAGCACACAUUAAAUAUCUACGAUACAUCUUUGUAAAUAAUGGCCUCAAUAACGCUCAACAACACUCUUUCUAAACAUAUAAAAUAGGACAAAGAUCACCAUAAAUAUAAGGUGAAUCCAACCAUAUCAAUAAUACAAAAUAAAGAGAUACAAGCAAAGAAUUCGAAGAAGAGAUUUCACCAAAACAACUCAAACUAUGUAAUCUAUGAUAAUAAAGUUAUAUGUAGAGCUUGGAAAGCUCUGUACAAAUGCAACAUAUCAUGGUGGUGAGACUAAACUCUCAUGAUAAAUUCCUCCGCAUACACAGUGCUUCUGAUUUGUGUGAGAUUGAGUUGCAAGGGUGAAUAUGGAAAGAAAUAUUAACUUUUGCAAGGUUAGCUUAUAUUUAGUGACACAAAAAAAGUCUCAAUGUUAGCUUAUAAUUAGGGACGGAGGGAGUAUUUUAUUACUUAAAAUUUUUUGUGAUUUUAUUUUUAUAUUUAAUUUUCAUGAAUUAUUCUUUUCUUUUUAUUAAAAUAAUUAAAUGAAAUAUUGAACAACAAAACAUCUUUUUUGGUACAACGAGUGGUUGGUUCAAGUGGUACAUGCUUGAUUCCCCCCUUAAGCAAGGUCUCGGGUUCGAGUCUUGUGGAUGAAAAAAAACUCCGUUGGGAGAAUUAACCACACCAUGAUGUGGAUGUCCCGGCUCGAACAUGAUUGUCUUCGAAGGAGAAUACAUGUCUUACAUGAAAAAAAAAACAUAUUUUUUGGUGUGUGCACAACAAAACAUCUGAGUACCUUCAAAUUAGAUUAAUUUCACUUUUAAAAAAAAAAAAGAUUAAUUUCCUUUUAAAGAAAGAAUUAGAAUAAUUUGUCUUUUUUUUUGAACGGAUAAUUUGUCUUUUUAAAGAAAGGUAACUAACUAAUCUAAUUCUCCAAACUUUUUCUUUGAAUUCUUUUAAAUUAUCUAUCUUAUUAAGAUUGUCGUUAUCAAUCAGAUUAAUUUUAAAUUUAAUUCAAUCCUAUAUCCGUUUGAAGAUUUGGAUUGAAUUAAAUUUUUUAUUUUUUAUAUAUGUGUAUAAAGAAGUAGUAAAUAAAUUGUUUAAUAAAUAAAAUAAAAUUACCAAAAAUAAAUAAAUAAUAUAAUAUAAUUUUCUAAGUAAUUCAUCUACAAAUCAUAAUACUAGAAUUGGUAAAAUUAAGAAUUUUUUAUUUUAUUUUCAUGAGCACCAAAGGCAUCUCUAGACUCUAGCUAACGAUUAAAAAUAUUCAACGAAAAAAAGAAGCUAACAUUCUAACAAUCAGAAAUUAAUGCCUUUUAAGUUUGAACCAAGAGGUAAGGGUUGUUUCAUUUGGCUUCCUAGGCCUGUAUUUGUCAUGCCACCACCAAUAAUCCUGUGAAUCACAGCAUCUCCAUCUUCCUUGGCUUUUAUGGCCUCUUCAUAAAAAAUGAAACUCCUCUGCCUUUUUCUCCUAGUGUUUGAACUCAACUCGAGCAUGUUUUCUGGCUAGUAGAUAACCCAUUAACGCAUAGGUUAAAGAGAAAAGGCGAAAGUGGAUGUCCCUGCCUAAUUAAGCAUUUCUCAAGAUUAAAAAUAAAGUCAUUCACCAACACAGCCAAAGAUGCUGUAGAAAUGCAUGUCUUUAUCCAACUUAUCAACCUCUCACCAAUUCGAUAGAUAACCCCAUUCAAUGUUAUCAUACACUUUAGCAAAAUUGGUUAGGAACAAUUCACCCUCCCUUCUCUUGAGAAAAUCAACCACUUCACUUACUAUUAAAAUGCAAUUCAAUAUUUACCUCCCAUACGUGAAAGCAAAUUGAUUUGUAGAAAUUAUAUAAGGCAUUACCAAUUGUAACCUGGCUGCAAGAACUUUAUAUAUUGGACUUUGUAACCUCCCGUAACCUAGAAUGCUAUUUACGUGUGCCACAACUAGUUUUGGGGUGGUUUUUCUUAAAGAAAACGCUCGAGCAAUCUUGGACGCCACAAAAUGCACCAAAUAUUUUAUUGGACUCAAAUUUUACUAGCAAUCUUGGACGCCACAAAAUGCAAAUUAGGUUUACUGGCAAUUUACAGGCGCCAGUUAAUGUUGAACACCAAUUGAGAACAUAACGAGAAAAUCUCAUGGUAAAUAAUCUGCAACCUUAAUGCCUUUCUGAAACCUUAUGGUCGGGGGGUCAUUGGAAAUUUAACACUUCACCAAACAACAUCCAUCAGCCCUACAACAACAUCAACCAGUCCUACAACAAUUAACUCAAACGUAACCAACAUGUUAAGAGCCCUAAACAUUUCUUUCAUUUAUACCCAUGUUUCCUUUGUAAACCAGUGUAUUUUCCAUUUUUGACAGAUCCAAAUUCAGCACCUCAAAGGCACUUAUUCAUGAAACAAUUUUACAAAGUUAUUCUCUAAAUUAAAAGGGAGGAACAACUAUCGGAUGUCCCCAAAAGGACAAGGGAGGAACAACUACGAGUAAGGAGGAUAAUAUAUCCUCCUAAGCAACAUUGAAAAACCAAUGUGAAAGUUGUACCAAUUUGAUGAAACAUACAUGAGAAAUAAGAUAGUUGAGGUUGGUGUAGGUGGGAGGCACUAACAUAGUUGCAUGAAAUAAAAGUUGAUCCCCAAAAGCAAAGAUCCAGCAAUGGGUUUACCAAAGAUAGAGCUUGAAUUUCCCUUUCUAACUCAUUAUCACUACUCCUAUCUAACCCAAGUAUUUUAAGAACCUAAACAGCAGCAGCCUUGGCAAUGUUUGUCAGCAAAGCUGGGGAUUUUAUUUUCAGGCUUUUAUUUCUUUCAACUUUAUUUUCAAUUUUAUUUCUAGAUUAACCUACUGAGAUCUUGAAUGUUUGUGUUGUCUUACUUUUCUAUAAAACUGUAAUACCAACCAAUGAAUAAUACAAGAAAACCAGUCACUAUAAAGCUAAUCUUCAAUUCAUUCAUUACUUUCUAGAAACCAAACCCAUCCUUCUCUACUGCUUACUUUAACAUCUAAUAAAGUACAGAAAGGAAACAUAAUUAUUGAAUAAACCAACAUUGCAGAUAAACUAUAUGCUUUUCAAUUGCUACAUUGGUCCAUAUACUUUUAGCCUUUUAGGCUUGAGAAAAUUUAAGUUAAUCAUGAAAUUUACACUUCAAUCAAUUUAGGAGAUGAUAUAUAACUAUAUUAUUAAGUUUGGUUUGGACUAAGGAAAAAAAAGUUUUCAGAAGUACGAGAGGUCGAGAGCAUAAGAAAUACAAAAAGCUUUUUUAUCCAACAAUUCAAAUAGAUGGUGUGCUAGAUAUGUAUCCAAUUUUUAAGUUUUUUAAUUUUGGAUAUCUUCUAAAUUCUUCUUUGUCAUACAUAUACAGGUUAAACAAUAGCAGAAAAUAUUCAAGUACUGCGGCACCUGCCUGAUGAACUCUGUUUUAGCACACAUUAAGCAUCUAUUACAGCUUUGCAGAUGAUGGCCUCAAUAAUACUCAACAACACUUUCUAAUUAGAAUAGAAUCCAAAGAUCACAGCAAAUAUAAGGUGGCUUAUAAAAAAAAACUACAAAUAUAAGGUGAAUCCAACAACCAGUUAUACAAAGCAAAGAGAUAUAAGCAAAAAAAUUCAAAGAUGAGGCUUCACCAAAACAUCUAACACCCUUCAUUCUGUGAUAAACAAGUUUCAAGCUUCUGACGCACAAGAAGUCAGUCUUAUAAGCUAAGCUUGGAAGGCUCCAUAAAAUGAAACAUAUCAUGGUGGCGAAACUAGACUCUCAUGAUAAAUCCCUCCAUGCCAUUGACGUGGUGAACUUCGCUUAAUCCUACAACGACGUCCAAAUUGGCCAUUCUUUGAGUCAUACGUAACUAAAUAAGAACAAGAACAUGGAGUUCUAAGAACAACAAGACCAUUUCCCAAAAUGCACAAGGGAUUAAGAUGAUGAGGGGCAUUGGAUCUACAAAUAGGGAUUCUAGAAAUAUGGAACUUACGAGGGAUCGUCAUCACUUUAGUCCAAGACCCCUGAACUCCAUAGUCUUUCAUCAACCAUAGAACUAAGAGAGUUUUGUGAGAAAAUUGCCACACAUAAAGAUAGCUAUUGGAGACAGCCAGGUCAAUACGCCCAACUUCAUCCUCCAGCAUAGGAGGUAGCAACAAUUUACCAUGAGUCUCAUUUUCCACGUCAAGCGAACUAAUCAUCCAUUUACCAGAGCCAUCACCUUUUGCAGUAAGCCAAUGCAGAUUACCAUUCACUAAUGUCUGGCGCGAACCCCAACUAGAACCCCAACCGGCACUAGCGACACCAAACGGGAGAUCCUGAAUCGGUGUUCUCCAAUUACUUUCACCAAAGGUAUAAAGCCUACCCACCAUUUUAAUAAUACCAUAACCAACUUCAACCCCAAAUGCUAGCACCUUGUACUUGUCAUUGACUUUAUCAUAGCCAACAAAUGCAUUCUGGAUACCAAUCUGGUAAAAGGGUUCCACAAUCUAAAACAAUCAUUAACAUCACACAAACACAGUAAUCCAUUGAUUGAACCUACAAAAUGGUUGUACUCUCCUUCCAUCUUAAAUUUACGUUUUUCAUUAAGGGUUGGUGGGUUUUUGAAGAAUGAAUUCAUAGAAUAUGUAACAACCUUGCUCGAAUCUUCGGAAACUAAGGCCAAUCGAGGGUGGGUCAUGAUUGUACCUGAGUUUGAGGUGUGAAGGUGAUCUUUCCCAAAUUGGGGAUGGGUUCGUCUAGUAACGCCGGCGGUGACAGCCUCCGUGACAUGGCGGCGGCGGUUUCAAUGCUAUCAAGCACCACACUUUCCCUGCUCGGAC